rnacentral:rRNA from 1 species
UAAGGAAUAUUGGUCAAUGGACGCAAGUCUGAACCAGCCAUGCCGCGUGAAGGAUGACUGCCCUCUGGGUUGUAAACUUCUUUUAUCUGGGACGAAAAACGGGCUUUCUAGCUCACUUGACGGUACCAGAGGAAUAAGCACCGGCUAACUCCG